UAUUAGCUGACCACCGUAGGGGUUGAACCAAUUAGUCGACUAGUCGACUAGUCGACUCUAGGACGUCUCGCGAGUUUUUACAUUUCAUGUCGACUAGUCGCAGUCAUGUGAUUGCCGGUGGUGACAGCCUGUGCUGAUCUGACAGCACAGUAUACGUCACAAGA